rnacentral:rRNA from 1 species
AUGGCAGCGAGUGCGACGACAGGGGUGAUGAACCCUCUCCUUGGCAAGCUCACCAAGCUGCUCGGCGAAGAGUACAGGAGGCUCACCGGUGUGAGGAAGCAGGCCUCCUUCCUCAAGGAUGAGCUAAGCGCCAUGAAAGCUCUUCUUGACAGGAUGGAGCUUAUGGAUAAGCUCGAUCCCUCGGCCAAGAACUGGAGGGACCAUGUUAGGGAGAUGUCCUAUGAUAUGGAGAAUUGCAUCGAUGACUUCAUGCAUGAUACUGAAGACGCCUAUGAAAAGAAAGGCUUCAUCAGAAAGAUGGCUCAGCGUCUCAGAAGGUUGGGGAGGCGUCAUCAGAUCGCAAACAGGAUCAAGGAGCUCAAGGUUCUUGUGGUGGAGGCGAAUGCUCGACGUGAGAGGUACAAGAUUGAUGAGUUCAUCAACUCGAGUCCUAGCAUUGUGGUUACGGAUCCCCGUAUUUCAGUGAUCUACAGGGAGAGAGAAGGCAUCAUUGGUAUUGAUGGCUCGAAAGAAGAGCUUGUUGGCUUGUUGAUGGAUUCUAAGAAGAAACUCAAAGUGGUUUCCAUCAUGGGGUUCGGAGGUUUGGGUAAAACUACGCUUGCCAAGCAAGUGUAUGAUGAGAUUGGAGGACAGUUUAACUGCAAGGCAUUUGUUCCGGUCUCUCAAAGACCUGAUGUUAAAAGUCUUCUGACUGGCCUACAAUUAAAGCUUGGGAUGGAGGAUUCUUCUCAUGCUCAAGAGUUGCAAGACAUCAUUGACCGCCUAAGAGAAUACCUAAAACAUAAGAGGUACUUAGUUUUAGUUGAUGACUUGUGGGAUGAACCAACAUGGAAUAUUAUUAGUUGUGCCUUUCCAGAACAUGGUAAUGGAAGCAAAGUAAUGGUAACCACACGAUUAGAUGACAUAGCUCUCUGGGCGUGUCAGAAUGAUCGUGCGUGCAUUUACAAAAUGAAGCCACUCAAAGAACAAGACUCAAGACAGUUAUUUUUUAAUAGAGUAUUUGGAUCCAAAAAUGACUGUCCAGAACAUUUUAAAGAAAUUUCAGCUCGAAGUCUCAGGAAGUGUGGCGGAUUGCCACUUGCAAUUAUCACCAUAGCUAGCAUCUUAGCUAGCCAAGAAGCAAGAUCACCGAAUGAAUGGGAGAGCAUAGUGAGUUCCCUUGGUGCCAAGAUUUCUACAAAAUCCACCUUCGAAGAGAUGAGGGGUAUACUGAACCUUAGUUACAUCCAUCUUCCUGCUCAUCUUCGUCCAUGUUUUUUGUACCUUGGCAUGUACAUGGAAGACCGUGAGAUCAUGAGGGAUGACCUGGUUCGACAGUGGAUAGCCGAAGGCUUUGUGUGUAAUUUGCACGGAGUAGCUUUGGAUGAUGUUGCAAAAAGUUAUUUCAAUGAGCUUAUCAAUAGAAGUCUGAUUCAGCCCGAAGAGACAUUUGGUGGGGAGGUAAUUUCCUGUAGAGUACACGAUAUGAUGCUUGAUUUUAUCCUCAGCAAAAGUGCAAAAGAUAAUUUUAUCAGUGUAGCAUAUAACUAUGAAGACAUGGCAAGAUUGCACAGUUGCGAGUACAAGGUUUGUCGAUUAUCUCUGAAAUCAAGUGUUGGUGAUGAAACAUCGGAGACACUUGCUACUAGCAUGUUACAAGUUAGAUCAUAUGCUCGGUUUUGGGAGUCCAAAUGCACACCUCCUCUUUCACAGUUUAAGUACGUACGUGUGCUUUUUUUUGAGUUUUCAUAUCAAUGUCAUACAACAGUCGACCUCACUGCAAUAGGUCAUUUAUUUCUGUUGAGGUAUUUGAAGGUUUCAGCAAGAUCAGCAGACAUAAUGCUACCUACUGAAAUUCAAGGGCUUGCUUAUUUGGAAACAUUGGAGUUAGUUUGCCGGUCCACACAAGGCUUUCCAUCGGAUAUAAUUCGCUUGCCCAACUUGUUUCAUCUUGUACUUCCAUAUGGUAUAGUGCUGCCUCAAGGGAUCCAGAACAUGAAAUCAGUCUGCACCCUGAAUUGUUUGGGCAUGUGGAAUAUGAGUUCCCUGGAGGAUAUCAAAGGCCUUAGCGGGCUGACCAAUCUAAAGGAAUUGACGUUAUGCACGCCUUAUGGCCAGUGCUUGACGGCUGACCGUGUGGAUGCUUUGGUGUCUUCCAUUGGAAAGCUCCGAGGCCUGACACACCUCUCCCUCGACUGCCCGAGCGAAUCUGGUGACAAUGGCAGCCAGCUAGACUCAUUGCCGGAUCCUCCUCUCCAUCUAGAGGUACUCGAUCUGGAAACAUGGGCUUUCAGUAGAGUUCCCAAAUGGAUUGGUGAGCUAGGUUGCCUCCGGAUCCUCUAUCUUUGUGUCAUGCACAUGUCCAGUGACGAGAUUCGUGUUCUUGGAGAGCUUCCCUCCCUCAUCGAUGCCAGGUUCCACGUGUUGGAUGUUUCUCAAGGUAAGGUCAUGGUCGGCGCGGGGCUGUUCCCCGCUCUGGAGUACUUCUAUCUCUUGUGUAGCGAAGAUGUCACUGAGUACCUAAGCUUCGAGGCAGGAGCUACUCCCAAGCUACUAACACUCAGCCUUGGAUUCGUCUGGGAAGAGUGGAGAGGCGCUACACCAGUCGGAAUGGAGCGUCUGCCCUGCCUGCAGGACAUCCGCUUGUCUCGCCAGUACACCAGCGCCGAGUCAAGCGAAAAUCAGGAAGACGUGCUCGCUGAUGUCGUGCCUGCCUUCAAGAGCGCCGCACGGCUGCACCCAAGGCAUCCCUCUGUUACGGUUGUGUAG